CGCGGCCUAUCAGCUUGUUGGUGAGGUAAUGGCUCACCAAGGCGUCGACGGGUAGCCGGCCUGAGAGGGUGACCGGCCACACUGGGACUGAGACACGGCCCAGACUCCUACGGGAGGCAGCAGUGGGGAAUAUUGCACAAUGGGCGAAAGCCUGAUGCAGCAACGCCGCGUGAGGGAUGACGGCCUUCGGGUUGUAAACCUCUUUCAGUAGGGAAGAAGCGUAAGUGACGGUACCUGCAGAAGAAGCGCCGGCUAACUACGUGCCAGCAGCCGCGGUAAUACGUAGGGCGCAAGCGUUAUCCGGAAUUAUUGGGCGUAAAGAGCUCGUAGGCGGUUUGUCGCGUCUGCUGUGAAAGACCGGGGCUCAACUCCGGUUCUGCAGUGGGUACGGGCAGACUAGAGUGCAGUAGGGGAGACUGGAAUUCCUGGUGUAGCGGUGAAAUGCGCAGAUAUCAGGAGGAACACCGAUGGCGAAGGCAGGUCUCUGGGCUGUAACUGACGCUGAGGAGCGAAAGCAUGGGGAGCGAACAGGAUUAGAUACCCUGGUAGUCCAUGCCGUAAACGUUGGGCACUAGGUGUGGGGGACAUUCCACGUUUUCCGCGCCGUAGCUAACGCAUUAAGUGCCCCGCCUGGGGAGUACGG
rnacentral:rRNA from 1 species